UAUUCAGGCUCUGUAACCAUUCCUCUCUGCUUGCCACCUCCACUGGCUGUGAUAAAGGAAUAAUCUGCCGAAUGAGUAAGCUGAGCAGUGGCUGCAGCGGUUAAAAAGAAGAUGGGACACAGAGCUUGAAGCGUAGGAGACAGAGAUGACCCAGGGGAUAUCAUACCAGUGCAGGUAUGGAUGUGUACACACCCUUCUCCCAGACACCCCUGCUCACAGCUGCACGCCCCGGGCUUUCACUAUGUCCAGCCCAAACGCAGACUCACAUCAGCCACAUUCCACCGCCUCCCAAAGCCCCAGAGGGUAGCUUCACAGCUGGGUACCAAGCUGGGCUGUUCCCUGCCUCUCUGGCUCAACUUUCACCACCCCCGUCCCCCUCCUCCCCCCUUCUGUUCACCAUUUCAAGCCCCCUAAAAUGGAACAUAUCUUUCUUUCACCCCUGCGUUAGUGUUUCAAAUUGUUCUGCAGGAGAAAUUGUCCUGCUCC